UACGGGGGGGGGCAAGCGUUGUUCGGAAUUACUGGGCGUAAAGGGCUCGUAGGCGGCCAACUAAGUCGGAUGUGAAAUCCCCAGGCUUAACCUGGGAACUGCAUCCGAUACUGGAUGGCUUGAAUCCGGGAGAGGGAUGCGGAAUUCCAGGUGUAGCGGUGAAAUGCGUAGAUAUCUGGAGGAACACCGGUGGCGAAGGCGGGUCUCUGGGCCGAUACUGACGCUGAGGAGCGAAAGCGUGGGGAGCGAACAGG
rnacentral:rRNA from 1 species